rnacentral:rRNA from 1 species
GGAUCAUUACAAGAACGCCCGGGCUUCGGCCUGGUUAUUCAUAACCCUUUGUUGUUCGACUCUGUUGCCUCCGGGGCGACCCUGCCUUCRGGCGGGGGCUCCGGGUGGACACUUCAAACUCUUGCGUAACUUUGCAGUCUGAGUAAACUUAAUUAAUAAAUUAAAACUUUUAACAACGGAUCUCUUGGUUCUGGCAUCGAUGAAGAACGCAGCGAAAUGCGAUAAGUAAUGUGAAUUGCAGAAUUCAGUGAAUCAUCGAAUCUUUGAACGCACAUUGCGCCCCCUGGUAUUCCGGGGGGCAUGCCUGUUCGAGCGUCAUUUCACCACUCAAGCCUCGCUUGGUAUUGGGCAACGCGGUCCGCCGCGUGCCUCAAAUCGUUCGGCUGGGUCUUCUGUCSCCUAAGCGUUGUGGAAACUAUUCGCUAAABGGUGUCCGGGAGGCUACGCCRUAAAACAACCCCAUUUMUAAGGUUGACCUCGGAUCAGGUAGGGAUACCCGCUGAACUUAAGCAUAUCAAUAAGCGGAGGAAAWGAAACCAACAGGGAUUGCUCUAGUAACGGCGAGUGAAGCAGUAAUAGCUCAAAUUUGAAAUCUGGCGUCUUCGACGUCCGAGUUGUAAYUUGUA